AGAGUUUGAUCCUGGCUCAGGAUUAACGCUAGCGGCAGGCCUAAUACAUGCAAGUCGAACGGCAGCACGGGUAGCAAUACCUGGUGGCGAGUGGCGCACGGGUGCGUAACGCGUAUGCAACCUACCUUUAACUGGAGAAUAGCCCCGAGAAAUCGGGAUUAAUACUUCAUAACAUUAUGAUAUGGCAUCAUAUUAUAAUUAAAGCUCCGGCGGUUUUAGAUGGGCAUGCGUGACAUUAGUUUGUUGGUGAGGUAACGGCUCACCAAGACUACGAUGUCUAGGGGUUCUGAGAGGAUUUUCCCCCACACUGGUACUGAGACACGGACCAGACUCCUACGGGAGGCAGCAGUAAGGAAUAUUGGGCAAUGGACGCAAGUCUGACCCAGCCAUGCCGCGUGCAGGAUGACAGCCCUACGGGUUGUAAACUGCUUUUGUACGGGAAAAAUUCCCUGGUCGUGAACCAGGGUUGAUGGUACCGUAAGAAUAAGCAUCGGCUAACUCCGUGCCAGCAGCCGCGGUAAUACGGAGGAUGCAAGCGUUAUCCGGAUUCAUUGGGUUUAAAGGGUGCGCAGGCGGAAUGAUAAGUCAGUGGUGAAAUCCUACAGCUCAACUGUAGAACUGCUAUUGAUACUGUUGUUCUUGAGUACAUUUGUAGUGGGCGGAAUGUGUCAUGUAGCGGUGAAAUGCUUAGAGAUGACACAGAACACCGAUCGCGAAGGCAGCUCACUAAACUGUAACUGACGCUCAGGCACGAAAGCGUGGGGAUCAAACAGGAUUAGAUACCCUGGUAGUCC
rnacentral:rRNA from 1 species